GACGUAGGGCGCGAGCGUUGUCCGGAUUUAUUGGGCGUAAAGAGCUCGUAGGCGGCUCGUCGCGUCGGCCGUGAAAACCAGCAGCUUAACUGCUGGCUUGCGGUUGAUACGGGCGGGCUAGAGUUCGGUAGGGGAGACUGGAAUUCCUGGUGUAGCGGUGAAAUGCGCAGAUAUCAGGAGGAACACCGGUGGCGAAGGCGGAUCUCUGGGCCAUUACUGACGCUGAGGAGCGAAAGCGUGGGGAGCGAACAGG
rnacentral:rRNA from 1 species